AUCUGACGAGUCCCAAACAGGACGAAAUGCGCGUCCUAGAU
rnacentral:hammerhead_ribozyme from 1 species